rnacentral:rRNA from 1 species
AUACGGAGGGUGCAAGCGUUACUCGGAAUCACUGGGCGUAAAGGAUGCGUAGGCUGGAUGUCAAGUUGGAAGUGAAAUCCUAUGGCUUAACCAUAGAACUGCUUCCAAAACUGGCAACCUAGAGUGAGGGAGAGGCAGAUGGAAUUAGUGGUGUAGGGGUAAAAUCCGUAGAUAUCGCUAGGAAUACCGAUUGCGAAGGCGAUCUGCUAGAACUCUACUGACGCUAAGGCAUGAAAGCGUGGGGAGCAAACAGGAUUAGAAACCCCAGUAGUCC